rnacentral:rRNA from 1 species
UACGUAGGGGGCUAGCGUUGUCCGGAAUCAUUGAGCGUAAAGAGCGUGUAGGCGGCUUGGUAGGUCCGCUGUGAAAACUCGAGGCUCAACCUCGAGAUGUCGGCGGAAACCACUUGGCUAGAGUCCGGAAGAGGAGAGUGGAAUUCCUGGUGUAGCGGUGAAAUGCGCAGAUAUCGGGAAGAACACCCGUGGCGAAGGCGGUUCUCUGGGACGGUACUGACGCUGAGACGCGAAAGCGUGGGGAGCGAACAGG